CAAAUCGCCGCCACCUCCUCCGCCUUACUACUACAAAUCUCCGCCUCCGCCUCCUCCCUACAAGUAUGAAUCGCCGCCUCCGCCUCCCUACAAGUACGAGUCGCCGCCUCCACCACCGUACUACUACAAAUCACCUCCGCCGCCCCCAUACAAGUAUGAAUCGCCGCCGCCACCACCAUACAAGUAUGAAUCGCCGCCGCCACCACCAUACAAGUAUGAAUCGCCUCCUCCACCACCAUAUAAGUACGAAUCGCCACCGCCACCACCAUACAAGUACGAGUCGCCUCCUCCACCUCCGUACAAGUAUGAAUCGCCUCCUCCCCCACCAUACUACUACAAAUCACCACCACCACCUCCUUACAAGUAUGAAUCUCCCCCUCCACCUCCAUAUUACUACAAAUCUCCACCCCCGCCACCACCUUACUACUACAAAUCACCACCACCACCUUCUCCUGUCUACAAAUAUAAAUCUCCACCACCACCACCUUACAAGUACGAAUCUCCUCCUCCACCUCCAUACUAUUACAAGUCUCCACCACCACCGCCGUAUUACUACAAGUCUCCACCACCACCACCUCCAGUUUACAAAUACAAAUCUCCUCCUCCGCCACCAUAUUACUACAAAUCACCACCUCCUCCAUCACCAGUAUAUUACUACAAAUCUCCUCCUCCACCAGCGUAUUACUACAAAUCUCCCCCACCGCCUGUCUACUAUUACAAAUCCCCGCCACCUCCAGCUUACCACUACCAAUCGCCACCCCCACCAAGUUACAAGCUGGUAGUGGUCACGGGCAAGGUCUAUUGCAACAGAUGCUGGAACACCACAAGCAGAUACCUUCAGGCAUCACCACAUGGGUCUGCUAGGUACAUUCUCAAUUGCAUUGUAUUCGAUAUUGUUCUCCUCACUCAUUUCCUCUUGAUACUGUGUGCAAUAAUGCAGGUGGCAAAGUGAAGAUCACAUGUGGCGAAUCUUACUACUACGGCUACACCAACAAGCAUGGAAUCUUUAGAAUUGAGCUCCCGCACCAAUCCUGGGAAGAAGCAAGCAGCUGCAAGGCCAAGAUUAUCAAGAGCAGCUACAUCAAGUCGUCAUGCAAUGUCAUCACGGACUACAGGUCUGGUGCAACAGGGGCCAAGCUCAAGUUCAAAUCGAAAACAGAGAAGGAGCUCGUCUUGACAGCCGGUCCUUUCAUCUAUGCAACUCCAGAGCCAUCGUCAGUCUGCUUCUACACAUCACCUCCCUAUGAGUACAAGUCACCUCCGCCACCAACACCGGUCUACCAUUACGCCUCUCCGCCACCUCCGGUCUACUACUACAAAUCGCCACCUCCUCCUUCACCGGUUUACUACUACAAAUCCCCUCCUCCUCCUUCGCCGGUCUACUAUUACAAAUCCCCGCCUCCACCACCAUACUAUUACAAGUCCCCACCUCCACCUCCGCCUAAGUAUUACUACAAGUCGCCCCCACCACCGUCUCCAUACUAUUACAAAUCCCCGCCCCCUCCACCGUACUAUUACAAAUCCCCACCACCACCUCCCUACAAAUACGAAUCGCCGCCGCCUCCUCCUUACAAAUACGAGUCCCCACCUCCACCACCUUACUAUUACAAGUCCCCACCACCACCUCCAUACAAAUAUGAAUCCCCGCCACCUCCAGUCUACAAAUAUGAGUCUCCGCCACCCCCAGUUUACAAAUACAAGUCGCCACCACCACCAUACAAGUACGAGUCACCACCACCACCUCCAUACAAGUAUGAAUCCCCGCCACCUCCACCUUAUUACUACAAGUCCCCUCCACCACCACCAUACAAGUACGAGUCGCCACCACCUCCUCCGUACAAGUAUGAAUCUCCACCACCACCAGUUUACAAAUACAAGUCACCUCCGCCGCCACCUUAUUACUACAAAUCCCCACCGCCACCUCCAUACAAGUACGAGUCUCCACCUCCUCCUCCGUACAAGUAUGAAUCUCCACCACCACCACCUUAUUACUACAAAUCCCCCCCGCCACCUCCAUACAAGUACGAGUCACCGCCUCCUCCUCCGUACAAGUAUGAAUCUCCACCACCGCCAGUUUACAAAUACAAGUCACCCCCGCCACCACCUUAUUACUACAAAUCCCCGCCACCACCUCCAUACAAGUACGAGUCUCCACCUCCUCCUCCGUACAAGUAUGAAUCUCCACCACCACCUCCUUAUUACUACAAAUCCCCGCCGCCACCUCCCUACAAGUAUGAAUCCCCGCCACCACCUCCCUACAAAUACGAGUCACCUCCACCACCACCUUACUAUUACAAAUCUCCUCCACCGCCUCCAUACAAGUAUGAGUCGCCACCACCACCAGUCUACAAAUACGAGUCUCCGCCACCCCCAGUUUACAAAUACAAGUCGCCCCCUCCACCUUAUUACUACAAGUCUCCGCCACCCCCGCCAUACAAAUAUGAAUCCCCACCUCCACCUCCCUACAAGUAUGAAUCGCCUCCUCCUCCACCUUACUACUACAAGUCCCCUCCACCACCUCCCUACAAAUAUGAAUCCCCGCCACCACCUCCCUAUAAAUACGAGUCACCACCACCACCACCUUACUAUUACAAAUCUCCUCCACCGCCUCCAUACAAGUAUGAGUCGCCACCACCACCUCCCUACAAAUACGAGUCACCACCACCACCACCUUACAAGUAUGAAUCCCCACCUCCACCUCCGUACAAGUAUGAAUCACCUCCACCGCCUCCAUACAAGUAUGAAUCCCCUCCUCCACCUCCCUACAAAUACGAGUCACCACCCCCACCACCUUAUUACUACAAAUCGCCUCCGCCACCGGAGUAUCAAUCACCUCCUUACGUGUAUAAAUCUCCACCUCCACCCUCGUACUAGGAGCUAAGGAGCAUUUGAUUUUCAGGUGAGAAAUCUAUAGAACCACAGUUCCUAGUUUUAACAAGUUUUCAAAUUCAU
rnacentral:lncRNA from 1 species